CAAGAAGUAGUUUAAU
rnacentral:tRNA from 1 species